CUAUCAUCCAGACAACCUGCAGUGACUACAGCUUGCUGCCUGCAUUUUCCUUUUCAGGGAGGAAUUGCCGCUGUUGUUGAAAUGGAGGCUUCUGCAUCAGUGGAAAGUUCAAGCAUGAGCUAAGCUACCCAUUUCUUCCAGGGAUCUCAC